rfam:Thermoactinomyces sp. Gus2-1 c56, whole genome shotgun sequence.
GGGUAAGCUACUAAGGGCACACGGUGGAUGCCUUGGCGCCAGGAGCCGAUGAAGGACGGGACGAACACCGAUAUGCCCCGGGGAGCUGUAAGUGAGCGUUGAUCCGGGGAUGUCCGAAUGGGGGAACCCGCCAGCUUGAAGAGCUGGCACCGCCAUCUGAAUCCAUAGGAUGGACGGGGGCACACCAGGGGAACUGAAACAUCUUAGUACCCUGAGGAAGAGAAAGCAAACGCGAUUCCCUGAGUAGCGGCGAGCGAAACGGGAACAGCCCAAACCGGCUGGCUUUGCCAACCGGGGUUGUAGGACGUCUCACACGGAGUUACAAAGGUGACGGAUAGAUGAAGUGGUUCUGGAAAGACCCGCCAAAGAAGGUAACAGCCCUGUAAUCGAAAUCGGUCACCCUCCGAGACGGAUCCUGAGUACCGCGGGACACGUGAAACCCCGUGGGAAGCAGGGAGGACCACCUCCCAAGGCUAAAUACUCCCUGGCGACCGAUAGUGAACCAGUACCGUGAGGGAAAGGUGAAAAGCACCCCGGGAGGGGAGUGAAAGAGAACCUGAAACCGUGUGCUUACAAUCAGUCGGAGUCCUUUUAAAGGGAUGACGGCGUGCCUUUUGUAGAAUGAACCGGCGAGUGACGGUUACGUGCGAGGUUAAGGUGAGAAGCCGGAGCCGCAGCGAAAGCGAGUCUGAAUAGGGCGAAUGAGUACGUGGCCGUCGACCCGAAACCGGGUGAUCUACCCAUGUCCAGGGUGAAGUUCCGGUAACACGGAAUGGAGGCCCGAACCUGUUGGUGUUGAAAAACCAUAGGAUGAGGUGUGGGUAGGGGUGAAAUGCCAAUCGAACCCGGAGAUAGCUGGUUCUCCCCGAAAUAGCUUUAGGGCUAGCCUCGGAGAGGAGUCGUGGAGGUAGAGCACUGAUUGGGCUAGGGGCCCCCACAGGGUUACCGAACUCAGUUAAACUCCGAAUGCCACAGACUUGUCCUCCGGGAGUCAGACUACGAGUGCUAAGAUCCGUGGUCGAGAGGGAAACAGCCCAGACCGCCAGCUAAGGUCCCAAAGUAACCGUUAAGUGGCAAAGGAUGUGGAGUUGCCCAGACAACCAGGAUGUUGGCUUAGAAGCAGCCAUCAUUCAAAGAGUGCGUAAUAGCUCACUGGUCAAGUGACUCUGCGCCGAAAAUGUAACGGGGCUAAACGGUUCACCGAAGCUGCGGAUGUCCUUCGGACAUGGUAGGGGAGCGUUCCAAACAGCAGCGAAGCUGCUUCGUGAGAAGCGGUGGAGCGUUUGGAAGUGAGAAUGCCGGUAUGAGUAGCGAAAAGAAGGGUGAGAAUCCCUUCCACCGAAAGCCUAAGGUUUCCUGAGGAAGGUUCGUCCGCUCAGGGUUAGUCGGGACCUAAGCCGAGGCCGAAAGGCGUAGGCGAUGGACAACAGGUUGAGAUUCCUGUACCACCUUGUUCCGUUGACGACGGGGGGACGCAGGAGGGUAGAGAAUCGCGCGACUGGUUGUGCGCGUCCAAGCAGUGAGGCUGAAGAGACAGGCAAAUCCGUCUCUUCUUAAGGCCAGGCUGUGAUGGCGAGGGAAGUUUCAGUACCGAAGUUCUUGAUCUCACACUGCCAAGAAAAGCCUCUAAGGAGGAACAAGGUGCCCGUACCGCAAACCGACACAGGUAGGCGAGGAGAGAAUCCUAAGGUGCUCGGGAGAACUCUCGUUAAGGAACUCGGCAAAAUGACCCCGUAACUUCGGGAGAAGGGGUGCCCCGUUAGGGUCUUCGGGCCCGAGGGGGCCGCAGUGAAGAGGCCCAGGCGACUGUUUAGCAAAAACACAGGUCUCUGCAAAGCCGCAAGGCGAAGUAUAGGGGCUGACGCCUGCCCGGUGCUGGAAGGUUAAGGGGAAGAGUUAGCUCACGCGAAGCUCUUCCCCUUAACCUUCCAGCACCGGGCAGGCG